ACCUUAAAAAGGUACAGUAAAAGUAACAAGAGUGAGGCAAUCGCUAGUGAAUGGAAACCCCAUGUCAUGAGGCAAUUGUCUACUCUUGCACAGAAUGGAAUCAUGUUGUAACUACAGUGCAAGAAGGUAGGUACAAUCCAUUUAAUUGAUAGCUAUGUUUUAGUAAAGUGUGUAGCUAUAGAGAGUAAGUUAAAGGUUAACACCGCUGCAUAAUUGGCCCUUGCAUGUGAUUAACGCCCCCUGGGAAGAGCUCUAUAGUGUGUAAUGUAAAUAAGAAUAGCUAUAAUUCAAUUAAUUCGGCUUAUUAGAUGAUUUGC
rfam:Betacoronavirus Erinaceus/VMC/DET/2012 isolate ErinaceusCoV/2012-174/GER/2012, complete genome.